UGGGGGAUAUUGCACAAUGGGGGGGAACCCUGAUGCAGCGACGCCGCGUGGGUGAAGAAGCGCCUCGGCGCGUAAAGCCCUGUCAGCAGGGAAGAAAAUGACGGUACCUGAAGAAGAAGCCCGGCUAACUACGUGCC
rnacentral:rRNA from 1 species